rnacentral:rRNA from 1 species
CAGCCGCCGCGGUAAUACGGAGGGUGCAAGCGUUAAUCGGAAUUACUGGGCGUAAAGCGCACGCAGGCGGUUUGUUAAGUCAGAUGUGAAAUCCCCGGGCUCAACCUGGGAACUGCAUCUGAUACUGGCAAGCUUGAGUCUCGUAGAGGGGGGUAGAAUUCCAGGUGUAGCGGUGAAAUGCGUAGAGAUCUGGAGGAAUACCGGUGGCGAAGGCGGCCCCCUGGACGAAGACUGACGCUCAGGUGCGAAAGCGUGGGGAGCAAACAGGAUUAGAUACCCUGGUAGUCCACGCCGUAAACGAUGUCGACUUGGAGGUUGUGCCCUUGAGGCGUGGCUUCCGGAGCUAACGCGUUAAGUCGACCGCCUGGGGAGUACGGCCGCAAGGUUAAAACUCAAAGGAAUUGGCGGGGGAGCAC